GAAUUAGGCAGCAGACAAGAGCAGGAGGAAUCAUGAAGGCAUUCCCUUUCUAGGGAACACACAUUAGAUUUCUCUUGCUUUACUUGGUCCCAGUUAAUGUCAUUUGCUCACAGGAGAGGCCCCACCCUCCCGGUGUCUGUUUCCCUCUCACCUGACAGUUUGUCUCUCACCAUUGCACCCACCAGGACAUUUGCAUAUUGCUCCUUAGGGAGGAACUCCCUUGCAAGUACAACAUAAAAGCUCAGCUCUAAGCUUGCUUGGACUGACCAGCAUUGCUUACUCUCAAAAUGAGGUGCCCUGUUCAGCUCCUGGGGCUGCUCUUGCUCUGGGUAUCAGGAUCCAGUGGAGAUGCUAUAUUGACUCAGACUCCACUCUCUCUGCCUGUCACCCUGGGAGAGCCAGUCUCCAUCUCCUGUAGGUCGAGUCAGAGUCUCUUAUAUAGUGAUGGAAACACCUAUUUGUACUGGUUCCUACAGAAGCCAGGCCAGUCUCCACAAGCCCUAAUCUAUUUGGUUUCCAACCGGUAUUCUGGGGUCCCAGACAGAUUCAGUGGCAGUGGGUCAGGCACAGAUUUCACAUUGAAAAUCAGCAGGGUGGAGGCUGAGGAUGUUGGCGUUUAUUACUGCUUUCAACAUACACAUGUUCCUCCCACACUGAUACACCCCUGAACAAAAACCACCCUGACUGGUGCAGCAGAACUGUCACAUGUAGCCUUUUUUAGGAGCAGCACAACAGCUUUUCUGAGUGAAUGUGAGAGCAAGAUGCUAGAGAAGUCAGGAUAGUAAGUCACUGUUGUGCUCUCUGAUCCAAGCAUUUCUGAUACCCUUUAGGAUAUUGCAGCAAAAGCCAUGGAAUUGUAC